rnacentral:tRNA from 1 species
UGAUAAUUAGUUUAAACAAAACAAAUGAUUUCGACUCAUUAGAUUGUGGUCGCCUCCAUAAUUAUCAA